rnacentral:rRNA from 1 species
GAUGAACGCUGGCGGCGUGCCUAAUACAUGCAAGUCGAGCGAACAGACGAGGAGCUUGCUCCUCUGACGUUAGCGGCGGACGGGUGAGUAACACGUGGAUAACCUACCUAUAAGACUGGGAUAACUUCGGGAAACCGGAGCUAAUACCGGAUAAUAUAUUGAACCGCAUGGUUCAAUAGUGAAAGACGGUUUUGCUGUCACUUAUAGAUGGCUCCGCGCCGCAUUAGCUAGUUGGUAAGGUAACGGCUUACCAAGGCAACGAUGCGUAGCCGACCUGAGAGGGUGAUCGCCCACACUGGAACUGAGACACGGUCCAGACUCCUACGGUAGGCAGCAGUAGGGAGUCUUCCGCAAUGGGCGGAAGCUUGACGGAGCAACGCCGCGUGAGUGAUGAAGGUCUACGGAUCGUAAAACUCUGUUAUUAGGGAAGAACAAAUGUGGAAGUAACUAUGCACGUCUUGACGGUACCUAAUCAGAAAGCCACGGCUAACUACGUG